GACGAACGCUGGCGGCGUGCUUAACACAUGCAAGUCGAACGGAAAGGCCCUGCUUUUGUGGGGUGCUCGAUUGGCGAACGGGUGAGUAACACGUGAGUAACCUGCCCUUGACUUUGGGAUAACUUCAGGAAACUGGGGCUAAUACCGGAUAGGAGCUCCUGCUGCAUGGUGGGGGUUGGAAAGUUUCGGCGGUUGGGGAUGGACUCGCGGCUUAUCAGCUUGUUGGUGGGGUAGUGGCUUACCAAGGCUUUGACGGGUAGCCGGCCUGAGAGGGUGACCGGCCACAUUGGGACUGAGAUACGGCCCAGACUCCUACGGGAGGCAGCAGUGGAGAAUAUUGCAGAAUGGGCGGAAGCCUGAUGCAGCAACGCCGCGUGCGGGAUGACGGCCUUCGGGUUGUAAACAGAUUUCGACUGUGACGAAGCGUGAGUGACGGUAAUGGGUAAAGAAGCAACGGCUAACUACGUG
rnacentral:rRNA from 1 species